rnacentral:rRNA from 1 species
GCGCAAGCCUGAUGCAGCGACGCCGCGUGAGGGAUGACGGCCUUCGGGUUGUAAACCUCUUUCAGUAGGGAAGAAGCGAAAGUGACGGUACCUGCAGAAGAAGCGCCGGCUAACUACGUGCCAGCAGCCGCGGUAAUACGUAGGGCGCAAGCGUUAUCCGGAAUUAUUGGGCGUAAAGAGCUCGUAGGCGGUUUGUCGCGUCUGCCGUGAAAGUCCGGGGCUCAACUCCGGAUCUGCGGUGGGUACGGGCAGACUAGAGUGAUGUAGGGGAGACUGGAAUUCCUGGUGUAGCGGUGAAAUGCGCAGAUAUCAGGAGGAACACCGAUGGCGAAGGCAGGUCUCUGGGCAUUAACUGACGCUGAGGAGCGAAAGCAUGGGGAGCGAACAGGAUUAGAUACCCUGGUAGUCCAUGCCGUAAACGUUGGGCACUAGGUGUGGGGGACAUUCCACGUUUUCCGCGCCGUAGCUAACGCAUUAAGUGCCCCGCCUGGGGAGUACGGCCGCAAGGCUAAAACUCAAAGGAAUUGACGGGGGCCCGCACAAGCGGCGGAGCAUGCGGAUUAAUUCGAUGCAACGCGAAGAACCUUACCAAGGCUUGACAUGGACCGGAUCGCCGCAGAAAUGUGGUUUCUCCUUUGGGGCCGGUUCACAGGUGGUGCAUGGUUGUCGUCAGCUCGUGUCGUGAGAUGUUGGGUUAAGUCCCGCAACGAGCGCAACCCUCGUUCCAUGUUGCCAGCACUUCGGGUGGGGGACUCAUGGGAGACUGCCGGGGUCAACUCGGAGGAAGGUGGGGACGACGUCAAAUCAUCAUGCCCCUUAUGUCUUGGGCUUCACGCAUGCUACAAUGGCCGGUACAAAGGGUUGCGAUACUGUGAGGUGGAGCUAAUCCCCAAAAGCCG